UUUAUUGCAUUAUUCAUUAUAUAUUGACUCUUUUUUAUUUCUUCUAGGUCCUUGUUAAACCUUUCUUGCAUCUUCUCAAUCCUUGUCUCCAGGCUAUUUAUCUGUGAUUCCAUUUUAAUUUUCAAGAUUUUGGAUCAAUUUCACUAUCAUUAUUCGGAAUUCUUUAUCAGGUAGAUUCCCUAUCUCUUCCUCUUUGGUUUGGUUUGGUGGGCAUUUAUCUGUUCCUUUAUCUGCUGGGUAUUCCUCUGUCUCUUCAUCUUGUUUAAAUUGCUGAGUUUGGGGUGUCCUUUCUGUAUUCUGGCAGUUUGUGGAGUUCUCUUUAUUGUUUCCUCACUGUGUGUGGGUUUGUACAGGUGGCUUGUCAAGGUUUCCUGGUUAGGGAAGCUUGUGUCGGUGUUCUGGUGGGUGGAGCUGUAUUUCUUCUCUCUGGAGUGCAGUGAAAUGUCCAGUAAUGAGUUAUGAGAUGUCUAUAGUUUUGGGGUGACUUGGGCAGCCUGUAUCUUGAAGCUCAGGGCUGUGUUCCUUUGUUGCUGGAGAAUUUGCUUGGUAUGUCUUGCCCUGGAACUUACUGGCCCUUGUGUGGUGCUUGGUUUCAGUGUCGGUAUGGAGGCAUUUGAUGAGCUCCUGUCAAUUAAUGUUCCUUGGAGUCAGCAAUUCCCUGGAGUCAGGGUUUGGACUUAAGUCUCCUGCUUCUGGUUAUCGGUCUUAUGUUUACAGUAGUUUCAAAACUUCUCCUUCUAUACAGCACCAUUGAUAAAACAUCUACAUUAAAGGUGAAAAUUUUCUCUACUGUGAGGGUCACUCAGAGAGGUUCACAGGGUUACAUGGAGAAGAGAAGAGGGAGGAGGGAGUUAGAGGUGACCCAAAUGAGAUGAGGUGGAAUCAAUAGUGGAGAGAGUGGGCUAGCCAGUAGUCACUUCCUUAUGUGCACUCCACAAUUGGACCACUCAGAGAUGUUCACGGAGUUAUACAGAGAAGAGAAGAAGGAGGAAGGUGACAGAGGUGGCCAGAAGGAUAAAAGCGGGGAAUGAAAAGGAGGGAGACAGAUCCAGCCAGUAAUCAGUUCCCUAAGUGUUCUCCACCGUCUGGCACACACAGAAAUUCACAGAGUUGGGUAGAGUAGAGAGGGGUUAGGGAGGAGACACAGGCGAGUGUGGAGAAAAAGGAGAGUCCAAAGGGAGAGAGAGCAGUCAAGCCAGUAAUCUCGCUCCCUAGUGAAAAAUGGGUCCUGAAGAUUGGGUUCUUAAAGGUACAAAAUUGGUAACAAAUAUAUAAAAGCAAAAAUUAAAAAUCUAGAGUAGAGUUUGGAAUUUCAAAAAUACGAUGUUAAAGAAAAGAAGAAGGAAAAGAAAGAGAGAAAAAACGAACAAACAAAAACAAACAAGGUCGUGAAAAUUAUAAAGAAAGUACAGGUACAAAAUUGGUAACUAAUACCAAAGAGCAAAAAUUAAAAAUCUAGAGCAGAGUUUGGAAUUUCAAAAAUACAAUGUUAAAAAAAAAAAAAAAAGAAGAAGAAGAAAAAUAAAGAGAGAAAACAAACAAAAACCAACAAUGUCACAAAAAUUAUAAAGAAAAUAUAGGUACAAAAUUGAUAUCAAAUACCAAAAAGCAUAAAUUAAAAAUCUAGAAUAGAGUUUGGAAUUUCAGGUAUACAAUGUUAUAUAAAAGAAGAAGAGAAAGAAACAGAGAAGAAGAAGAAAAAAAAAGUCACAGAAAUUAUAAAAAAAAAACUAUAGGUACAAAAAUUGAUAACAUAUACCAAAAAGCUAAAAUUAAAAAUCUAGAGUAGAGUUUGGAAUUUCAAAAAUACAAUGUUAAAGAAAAGAAGAAAAAAAAAAUAACAAGGUCAAAAAAUUAUAAAACAUAUAUAUAUGAAGUUUGCUGAAGAAGAAAAAAAUAGGGUCUUUUUUUUUUUGCAAAGUAAUAGGUUAUAAAAGUGAAAAUUAAAGGAACAAUAGAGGACUUAAAAUUUUUUUUUUUAAUUAAAAAAAAAAGAAAGAAUGAUCAUAAAAAUAAUAAAAAUAUAUCUAGGACUUUCUUGGUUUUGUUGUGGGUAUUGUGGGUUCAGUUCAUUUUUGGCUAGUUCCUUGGUCUGACUUAUAUUUCUCAAGAUCUAUAGGCCCCUUCCUAUGUAGUCCGUAGUAACCACAGGGUUUUGACCUAUUGCCUGUAGCUUCCAAGGCGUUUCCCUCUGUUAUAUCUUCUUCUGUUUGCUAGUCUCUUCAGUAUCUGGUUUCCGCCCUGACACAAAGGGGACGGUGGAGGAAACAUUUUUUUUUUUUUAGGCUUACUUGUUCAGUUGCGCUGUGGGGAGGUAGGGAGGGAUGCUGCAAACAAAUAACACUGGCGUGAGCUCGCAGUGCCUCAGCCACACUGGGUCUGUCCCCACUCACAGCGCGUGUAGCCUCCCUGCCCACACUGCUCGGGCUCUAGUUGUUCCGCCGGGAACUAUCCGAGGCCGGCCCUGGGUUGCAUGCACCUCCCAGGUCCAAGCCGCUCAGGUUCAGGCACUCGGGUAGUCCUCAGAGGUGCAGACUCAGUUGGGCCUGCGUUUUGUGCUCUUCCCAGGUCCGAGCAGCUCAGGUGAUGAGGUGUUCGGCGAGCGCCAAUGCUGCGACUUAUCACCUCCCCGCCACUCAGUUAUCUGGGUGUAAAACCGGUGCACCUUCUCAGGCACAUGUUGACCGUCCAGACCCCCAAUAAGUUUUAGUUAGCAAAGAAGCCUGCUUACAGUUUUAUAGAUAAUGUCUCUCUGGGGCUGCAAUUGCCCCCUUCCAGCUCUGGCUGCCUGUCACCGGAGGGGGAAGGUCUGCAGCCGGCUAUCUCUGUUCAGUCCUUUGUUCCGUGCGCGGGCCUGGCGGAGUCUUAGGUUAGGGCUGGCUUUUCACGUGGUAGAUAUCCCACAGUCUGGUUUGCUAGCCCAAAUUAUUUCGCUCAGAUAGUGCUCAGGGUAUUCAGGCCAGAUCCUUACUCUCAGCGAUGCAGCCCGAGCCGCGCCUCCCUGCCCAGCCCCCGCUUGCUAAUGGCGGAUGCAGGCGUCUGCGCUGGUUCUCCGCUGGGGGAGUUACUGUAGGGCUCGCAAUCUGCGAGUUUUAAUUGUUUAUUUAUUUUUUCUCCCUGUUAUGUUGCCCUCUGUGCUUCCAAAGCUUGGCACAGAUUCAGCAGUGAGAAGGUUUCCUGGUGUUUGGAAACUUCUCUCUUUUUAAGACUCCCUUCCCGGGACGGAACUCCAUCCCUCCCUCUUUUGUCUCUUUUUUUGUCUUUAAUAUUUUUUCCUACCUCCUUUCGAAGAGUUGGAUUGCUUUUCUGGGUGCCUGAUGUCCUCUGCUGGCAUUCAGAAGUUGUUUUGUGGAAUUUACUCGACGUUUAAAUGCUCUUUUGAUGAAUUUGUGGGGAAGAAAGUGUUCUCCCCGUCCUACUCCUCUGCCAUCUUGGCUCCUCCCCUU
ensembl:lncRNA